AGUGGGGAAUAUUGCACAAUGGGGGGAACCCUGAUGCAGCCAUGCCGCGUGUGUGAAGAAGGCCUUCGGGUUGUAAAGCACUUUCAGUUGUGAGGAAAAGUUAGUAGUUAAUACCUGCUAGCCGUGACGUUAACAACAGAAGAAGCACCGGCUAACUCCGUGCCAGCAGCCGCGGUAAUACGGAGGGUGCGAGCGUUAAUCGGAAUUACUGGGCGUAAAGCGCACGCAGGCGGUUUGUUAAGCUAGAUGUGAAAGCCCCGGGCUCAACCUGGGAUGGUCAUUUAGAACUGGCAGACUAGAGUCUUGGAGAGGGGAGUGGAAUUCCAGGUGUAGCGGUGAAAUGCGUAGAUAUCUGGAGGAACAUCAGUGGCGAAGGCGACUCCCUGGCCAAAGACUGACGCUCAUGUGCGAAAGUGUGGGUAGCGAA
rnacentral:rRNA from 1 species